UAAUACUGCAGGUAGAAAUACGCUGUAUACUCGUGUAAUCGAAUUAACGUUUAAGCGGCAUAAUCUGUCGCCGACCACGAGGCCGCCUUUUUUAGGCGGUUUUUUUUAGG
rnacentral:ncRNA from 12 species